CCUACGGGUGGCAGCAGUAGGGAAUCUUUCACCAUGGGCGAAAGCCUGAUGGAGCAACGCCGCGUGCAGGAUGAAGGCCUUCGGGUUGUAAACUGCUUUUAUAAGCGAGAAAUAUGAUGGUAACUUAUGAAUAAGGAUCGGCUAACUACGUGCCAGCAGCCGCGGUCAUACGUAGGAUCCGAGCAUUAUCCGGAGUGACUGGGUGUAAAGAGUUGCGUAGGUGGCAUAAUAAGUAGCUAGUGAAAUCUGGUGGCUCAACCAUUCAGACUAUUAGCUAAACUGUUAAGCUCGAGACCGUUAGGGGUAACUGGAAGUUCUAGGGUAGGAGUGAAAUCCGUAGAUAGUAGAAGGAACACCAAUAGCGGAGGCAGGUUGCUGGGACGGUUCUGACACUAAGGCACGAAAGCGUAGGGAGCAAACGGGAUUAGAUACCCGAGUAGUC
rnacentral:rRNA from 1 species